rnacentral:sRNA from 1 species
CUCAUUAUUACCGCCAUUUCACGAAUGGCGGGGUAGGAUCGGUAUUUGUUGUGCCCAAACCCGCCGGUGAGGCGGGUUUU